CACGUAGGAGGCGAGCGUUGUCCGGAAUCAUUGGGCGUAAAGAGCGCGCAGGCGGCUUGGCAAGUCGGGUGUGAAAUCCCGGGGCUCAACCCCGGGACUGCAUUCGAUACUGUCAGGCUAGAGGUAGGUAGGGGAGAUCGGAAUUCCUGGUGUAGCGGUGAAAUGCGUAGAUAUCGGGAGGAACACCAGUGGCGAAGGCGAGUCUCUGGGAUGAUGCUGACGCUGAGGCGCGAAAGCCAGGGGAGCAAACGGG
rnacentral:rRNA from 1 species